rnacentral:rRNA from 1 species
UACGUAGGGUGCAAGCGUUGUCCGGAAUUAUUGGGCGUAAAGAGCUCGUAGGCGGUCUGUCGCGUCGGAUGUGAAAACCCAGGGCUCAACCCUGGGCCUGCAUUCGAUACGGGCAGACUAGAGUUCGGUAGGGGAGACUGGAAUUCCUGGUGUAGCGAUGAAAUGCGCAGAUAUCAGGAGGAACACCGGUGGCGAAGGCGGGUCUCUGGGCCGAAACUGACGCUGAGGAGCGAAAGCGUGGGGAGCAAACAGG